rnacentral:rRNA from 1 species
UACGAAGGGGGCUAGCGUUGUUCGGAAUCACUGGGCGUAAAGCGCACGCAGGCGGAUCGAUAAGUCGGGGGUGAACGCCCGGGGCUCAACCUCGGAAUUGCCUUCGAUACUGUCGGUCUCGAGUCCGGGAGAGGUGAGUGGAAUUCCUAGUGUAGAGGUGAAAUUCGUAGAUAUUAGGAAGAACACCAGUGGCGAAGGCGUCUCACUGGCCCGGUACCGACGCUCAGGUGCGAAAGCGUGGGGAGCAAACAGG